UGGGGAAUUUUGGACAAUGGGGGAAACCCUGAUCCAGCAAUGCCGCGUGUGUGAAGAAGGCCUUCGGGUUGUAAAGCACUUUUGUCCGGAAAGAAAACUUCUGCCCUAAUACGGCGGGAGGAUGACGGUACCGGAAGAAUAAGCACCGGCUAACUACGUGCCAGCAGCCGCGGUAAUACGUAGGGUGCGAGCGUUAAUCGGAAUUACUGGGCGUAAAGCGUGCGCAGGCGGUUCGUUAAGACAGAUGUGAAAUCCCCGGGCUUAACCUGGGAACUGCAUUUGUGACUGGCGAGCUAGAGUAUGGCAGAGGGGGGUAGAAUUCCACGUGUAGCAGUGAAAUGCGUAGAGAUGUGGAGGAAUACCGAUGGCGAAGGCAGCCCCCUGGGCCAAUACUGACGCUCAUGCACGAAAGCGUGGGGAGCAAACA
rnacentral:rRNA from 1 species